rnacentral:rRNA from 1 species
GCAGCAGUGGGGAAUAUUGCACAAUGGGCGCAAAGCCUGAUGCAGCAACGCGCUGAGGGAUGACGCCUUCGGGUUGUAAACCUCUUUUAGUAGGGAAGAAGCGAAAGUGACGGUACCUGCAGAAAAAGCACCGGCUAACUACGUGCCAGCAGCCGCGGUAAUACGUAGGGUGCAGCGUUGUCCGGAAUUAUUGGGCGUAAAGAGCUCGUAGGCGGCUUUCGCGUCUGCUGUGAAAUCCCGGGGCUCAACCCCGGGCCUGCAGUGGGUACGGGCAAGCUAGAGUGCGGUAGGGGAGAUUGGAAUUCCUGGUGUAGCGGUGGAAUGCGCAGAUAUCAGGAGGAACACCGAUGGCGAAGGCAGAUCUCUGGGCCGCUACUGACGCUGAGGAGCGAAAGCAUGGGGAGCGAACAGGAUUAGAUACCCUGGUAGUCCAUGCCGUAAACGUUGGGAACUAGAUGUAGGGCCUGUUCCACGGGUUCUGUGUCGUAGCUAACGCAUUAAGUUCCCCGCCUGGGGAGUACGGCCGCAAGGCUAAACUCAAAGGAAUUGACGGGGGCCCGCACAAGCGGCGGAGCAUGCGGAUUAAUUCGAUGCACGCGAAGAACCUUACCAAGGCUUGACAUAGCCGAGAACGCUGUAGAGAUACAGAACUCUUUGGACACUCGGUUACAGGUGGUGCAUGGUUGUCGUCAGCUCGUGUCGUGAGAUGUUCGGUUAAGUCCGGCAACGAGCGCAACCCUCGUCCUAUGUUGCCAGCACGUUAUGGUGGGAACUCAUGGGAUACUGCCGUGGCAACACGGGAAGGUGGGGAUGACGUCAAAUCAUCAUGCCCCUUAUGUCUUGGGCUUCACGCAUGCUACAAUGGCCGAUACAAAGGGCUGCAUACCGCGAGGUGGAGCGAAUCCCAAAAAGUCGGUCUCAGUUCGGAUUGGGGUCUGCAACUC